GAUUUGACCUGUCAGGUCCGUCUGAUUUUGCUAACCUAGCCUAAGCCAGCAUGCUAAUUUGCUAGCAUUUCCCGGACAUGCUAGCAGCGCGUGGAGGCCACGAGCGCUAACAGCAGGCCUCCAACAAAAAUGUCUCCAACAAAACAAUAACAAGAGCUAAGAGAUAGUGGCACCGCAGUCACCGUAGAAUCCUCGACACGGGCUUUUAAAACGGACACUUUGACUUGGUUUACCUGUUUACUCUUGGCGUAAGGUUUAGAGGCGAUGUGAUAUCUCCUGCUUCUAAUUUUCCCUCCACCCGUGGCCGCCAUGGCUCUUUCGUCUGAGUGUCAAUCGGCGUUUCGGCGCCGGAUAGCUGUCAUCCAGCAGAGCGGCCACUCACAAGGGAACUUCGGGAAAUGUAGUAGCUGAACCUAACAAAGAGGUGAGCAACUGCACUUAACCAUUAUCUCUGUACACAAACAUGGGAUUUGGAUUUGGCAUUCCUGUGGUACUACUGCAAUGUUCUGCAUGACUUGCUACAUCCUGCAACGCUUCUCUCACCAUCAUAGAUGACUGUUGCCUUGGCCAGGAGUUGAUGUUGUCAGACGGUACCUAACCUUCCUCAAGUUUGGGUACCAUACCAUCAUAUCACUCUGAGAUCUGUUGUAUAUAUUAAGUAAAUAAAAUAAUAAAACACA